AUGGAGAGCGUUCCACUGCUGGCGUACAGGCCGGGGAAGAAGCGAGCAUUGGCGAGGGAAGCGGCGGAGGAGUCCAAGAAGCUGUGGGGGAUCGUCGGCCCUGCCAUGUUCAUGCGGCUGGUGCUCUACAGCUUUGACAUCGUCAGCCAGGCCUUCGCUGGCCGCAUCGGCGACCUCGAGCUCGCCGCCUUCUCCAUCGCCAGCACCGUCGUCUCCGGACUUACGUUCGGCUUGCUGCUCGGAAUGGCGAGUGCUCUGGAAACGCUGGCCGGCCAGGCCUUCGGCGCCAAGCAGUACGCCAUGCUCGGCAUCUACCUGCAGCGCUCAUGGAUCGUGCUCCUGCUCUCCGCCGUGCUCCUCGUCCCGAUGUACGUCUUCGCGGCGCCGCUGCUGGCCGCGAUGGGCCAGCCGGCCGAGGUGGCGCGCCUGGCGGCCCAGCUCGGCGUGUGCAUGCUCCCGAUGCACUUCGGGUUCGCCCUCCUCCUGCCCAUCAACAAGUUCCUGCAGAGCCAGGGCAAGAACUGGGUCAUGGCGGCCACGGCGCUGGCGUCCUUCCCCGUGCACGUCGCCGCCACCUGGCUGCUGGUGGUCCGGUUCCGGUUCGGGGUGCUCGGCGCCGCCAUGGCUCUCAACGUCUCCUGGGGGCUCAGCUUGGUGGUGCAGCUCGCCUACGUCCUCGGCGGCGGGUGCCCCUUGACGUGGACAGGGUUCUCGCCAUUGGCGUUCGCUGACCUCUGCGGGUUUAUCAAGCUGUCCCUAUCAUCUGGUGUCAUGGUAUGCUUGGAGAAUUCAUACUACAAAGUACUGCUUCUGCUCACAGGACACCUGAAGAAUUCUCAGCUUGCUGUGGAUGCCCUUUCUAUCUGCAUGAGUUUUCAGGGAUGGGAGAUGAUGAUUCCUAUGGCCUUCUUAGCAGGCACUGGGGUGAGAGUUUCUAAUGAGCUUGGCGCGGGCAACGGAAAAGGAGCGCGGUUCGCGACGAUCGUGUCGACGACGAACUCCUUUCUGAUCGGCCUCUUCUUUAGCUUGCUUGCACUUGCCUUCCACGACAAGAUCGCACUCGUCGUUUCAUCAAGCAAAGCUGUGAUCGACGCGGUGGACAACCUCUCCGUUCUGCUAGCCAUCAGCAUCCUCCUAAAUGGCGUCCAACCUGUACUUUCAGGAGUUGCUGUCGGAUCAGGGUGGCAAGCACUAGCGGCUUAUAUAAACGUUGGAAGCUAUUACAUCAUUGGAGUUCCUGUUGGACUUCUGCUCAGUUGGCUCUUCAAUCUGGGAGUUCUUGGGAUUUGGGCAGGGAUGAUCGGUGGCACUGCAGUUCAGACAAUAAUUCUUGCGUAUAUUACCGUGCGAUGCGAUUGGGACGAGGAGGCUUCUAAAGCAAGUAAACACAUCCAAAGAUGGGCAGGCUCGAAAUGA
rnacentral:rRNA from 1 species